rnacentral:rRNA from 1 species
CCUGGCUCAGGGAUGAACGCUGGCGGCGUGCCUAAUACAUGCAAGUCGAGCGAACAGACGAGGAGCUUGCUUCUCUGACGUUAGCGGCGGACGGGUGAGUAACACGUGGAUAACCUACCUAUAAGACUGGGAUAACUUCGGGAAACCGGAGCUAAUACCGGAUAAUAUAUUGAACCGCAUGGUUCAAUAGUGAAAGACGGUUUUGCUGUCACUUAUAGAUGGAUCCGCGCCGCAUUAGCUAGUUGGUAAGGUAACGGCUUACCAAGGCAACGAUGCGUAGCCGACCUGAGAGGGUGAUCGGCCACACUGGAACUGAGACACGGUCCAGACUCCUACGGGAGGCAGCAGUAGGGAAUCUUCCGCAAUGGGCGAAAGCCUGACGGAGCAACGCCGCGUGAGUGAUGAAGGUCUUCGGAUCGUAAAACUCUGUUAUUAGGGAAGAACAAAUGUGUAAGUAACUAUGCACGUCUUGACGGUACCUAAUCAGAAAGCCACGGCUAACUACGUGCCAGCAGCCGCGGUAAUACGUAGGUGGCAAGCGUUAUCCGGAAUUAUUGGGCGUAAAGCGCGCGUAGGCGGUUUUUUAAGUCUGAUGUGAAAGCCCACGGCUCAACCGUGGAGGGUCAUUGGAAACUGGAAAACUUGAGUGCAGAAGAGGAAAGUGGAAUUCCAUGUGUAGCGGUGAAAUGCGCAGAGAUAUGGAGGAACACCAGUGGCGAAGGCGACUUUCUGGUCUGUAACUGACGCUGAUGUGCGAAAGCGUGGGGAUCAAACAGGAUUAGAUACCCUGGUAGUCCACGCCGUAAAC